UACGGAGGGGGCAAGCGUUGCUCGGAAUCACUGGGCGUAAAGGGCGCGUAGGCGGGAUGGCAAGUCAGUCGUGAAAUCUCUCGGCUCAACCGAGAAACGUCGGCUGAUACUGCCGUUCUUGAGGGAUGCAGAGGAGACUGGAAUUCCCGGUGUAGCGGUGAAAUGUGUAGAGAUCGGGAGGAACAUCCGUGGCGAAGGCGACUACCUGGACCAGCACUGACACUGAGGCACGAAAGCGUGGGGAGCAAACAGG
rnacentral:rRNA from 1 species